AAUACGGUAGAUAUUAUUAACAGUACAUAAUCAUAGUCUAUUAACUAUGGCAUAAUGGGGAUAAAAAAGCGUAUGUUACGAGGUGUGGCCAUCGCACAGAUCACCGUCGGUGCAGUCAUGUUCAUACUAGGGUGCGUGAAUCAAAACACGUACAAGAAUCGACGGGUUUACAGAGAAGGCGACGUGCAGGACAAUACGCGAGAGAUUGCUGCAGAAUCUGCUAUUGGAAUUUGGGGCGGAAUCUGGAUGAUCGCAAGUGGAACAAUCGGUGUUAUAUGCAGCACGAGACCAAAUAAACCAAUGGUUAUUGUGAACUUUUCGCUAUCCAUUAUCGCAUCUGUCGUGGCAUUCGCCGCCCUCACGUUGUACGCCGUGGUACUGAAAGAGCGGUAUGAAGUCAAUGGCUGCCACGAUUACAAGUUCCUUAUUUCUCGAGAAAGAAAAUAUAUGGAUGACUGUCACUCUGGCCUCGCUCUGAAUGCUGUCCUCUAGAUUUGUGCCGUGCUUGAACUACUUCUCAGCCUGUGGUCUGUAGGGAUCAGUGACUUUGGAUUCAGUAAGCCUCUUGCUCCUCGAAACCAGAGACAACCAUCCAAUGCCAAUGUUAUUACCCAAGGUACCAUAGGAACUUCUGUCAGCCUCGCUCAACAGCCUUUUGUAUAUUUCACGCAUGCUGUUCCAACACAGGGUGACCGUCAGAGCAACGAACUCGCUAUAGCUUAUAUUAACCAAGGUUUCACAAGCGCAAAUCUCCCUCCCCCGUAUACGCCCUGACAGUUGGAAUAAGCAGAAAAUAGUAAAACAGGCUGCUCAAGCUCCGGAUAGUCUCAAACUCAAAACAGACACAAACUCCGGACAGACACAAUCUCCGGACAGUCUCAACCACCGGACAGUUCUCCAAACACCAGAAAGUCUCAAUCAUGGACUGUCUCAAACUCCAAACAGACACAAACUCCGGACAGUUCUCGAAACACCAGACAGUCUCAAUCAUGGACUGUCUCAGACUCUAAACAGACACAAACUCCGGACAGGUCUCCAAACGCCAGACCGUCUCAAUCACCGGACAGUUAAACACCAGACCGUCUCCAAUCACUGGACAGUUCUCCAAACACCAGACAGUCUCAAUCACCGGACAAUUUGAAACUCCGGACACUUUCAAACUGGUUGAAUCAAGAAAAAGGCGAUUGAAAUCCAAUUUUUCUUGGUCUUGUGGAUACGGCUUUGGGUCGGUGUCUCGCUGUGGUUUGAAGCUUAUAUGUCAUAUAUGUUAUUUCUAUUACUAUUUUCUUUGGUUUGUUUGUAGGGUAAUGCUUGUUUGUGUUUGUGACAAAGCUAAUAGAAUGAAAUAAAAUCACCAGAUUAAAAAGUAAAA